GCGAAAGUAGUUUAGUGGCAGAACGACAGCCUUCCAAGCUGUGGACGUGGAUUCGACUUCCAUCUUUCGCU
rnacentral:tRNA from 1 species